rnacentral:rRNA from 1 species
AAACAUAGCCGGUAGUUAUUAUAUUAUCGGUAUGACCUGCCCGGUGAACUUUUAACGGCCGCAGUACUAUGACUGUGCAAAGGUAGCAUAAUCAUUUGACUUUUAAUUGAAGUCUAGCAUGAAAGGAAAAACGUAUAUAAGCUGUAUCAGGUAUAAAUUUAUAUAAAUUAUUUAUAGGGUGAAAAUACCCUAAAUAAGAAAAAUAGACGAGAAGACCCUUAGAAUUUUAAGAAAAAGCAUCACCUAUUAUGAAACGAUUUUUGUUGGGGCAACAUUUUUUCAUAUAAUAAAAAAAAAGUACUAUAACACAACGAAAAAGUUUAAUAAAGAAAAAAUUACCUUAGGGAUAACAGCAUAAUUUUUAAUAAAGAUUGUGACCUCGAUGUUGGACUAGGAACUAUUAAGGCUAGUCGUUUUAAUAUAAUAUGUUCUGUUCGAACUUUAUUUCCUA